rnacentral:rRNA from 1 species
UACGGAGGGGGCUAGCGUUGUUCGGAAUUACUGGGCGUAGGGCGCACGUAGGCGGAUAUUUAAGUCAGGGGUGAAAUCCUGGAGCUCAACUCCAGAACUGCCUUUGAUACUGGCAAUCUCGAGUCCGGGAGAGGUGAGUGGAACUGCGAGUGUAGAGGUGAAAUUCGUAGAUAUUCGCAAGAACACCAGUGGCGAAGGCGGCUCACUGGCCCGGUACUGACGCUGAGGUGCGAAAGCGUGGGGAGCAAACAGG